AUCAAUGACGACAAGGAAUGCGUGCCCAGCGGCAUUCCUUAUUGACAUUACGGAGGAAUCGUCGAGGUCGUCAGGUUCGAGUACCACUCCCACAGGCUCGGAAACAGGUACGGAAGAGGCACGCGGCUCAGGACAGAACUCUACUACUGGCGUUGGAUGGAGAGGAAGCCUACCUUGGCGGACGCCGUUACUCGCGGAGGCAGUGCCGAGUUUAUCUGAACACGAUCGACUGAUCGACAUGGGGAAUCGGUUCGAUGCUUGUAUCGCAGGUCGUAGAAGUGGGUUAAUAGAGACCCGUCUAUGGACACGGCGAAUCACUACGUAGAAGUGAAGCAAAGGUUUCGUCGAACAGGAGAGAUGGAAUGGAUACGUCAGAAUGGGUCUAAACACUUUCGUCAAAUGUGAUGGACUUUCUACAUCAUCGGCUCUCUUAAGAACUUUCUCAUCAUACUGGCGAUAAAUAAUUGUAAAUUUAUAAUUUCUCGAUACCUAAUAAAGCGAUGGGUUAUCAGUAAUGUAGAAAUCCAAGCUACCUUAAAAUUGAUUAUUUGUUAAC